CGCUCCCGGUUACGUGCGCGCGGCGGGACCCGGAACGUGCUCUCGGGUGGUUGCCCCGCCCACCUCGGCCUUGUUUGUUCAGCCUCUAGGGCUUGAAUUUACCGCCAGGUCGAGCUGGGCAAGAGCGAUGCUGCCUGGCCCGCCUUGGCUUUGAGGAGAGAGGAACGUCCAGAACCGCUGCAGCUUGCUUUCGGCGCUGAGCCCCGGCAGCCAUGUCCACGGGGUUCUCCUUCGGGACCGGCACGCUGGGCUCCACCACCGUAGCCCCCGGCGGGACCGGCGCAGGCGGCGGUUUCUCCUUCGGGACGGGGCAUCUAGACAGAGAUCACAAGUAGGCAGAGAGGCAAGCAGAGAGAGAGGAGGAAGCAGGCUCCCUCCUGAGCGGAGAGCCAGAUGCAGGACUCUAUCUCAGGACCCUGGGAUCAUGACCUGAGCCGAAGGCAGAGGCUUUAACCCACUGAGCCA